UCCAUUCAUUCAUGUGGUUAAGGGAGAUC
rnacentral:piRNA from 1 species